UACAGAGGGCUCAAGCGUUGUUCGGAUUCAUUGGGCGUAAAGGGUGCGUAGGCGGCGCCGUAAGUCAGGUGUGAAAUUUCGGAGCUUAACUCCGAAACUGCAUUCGAUACUGCCGUGCUUGAGGACUGGAGAGGAGACUGGAAUUUACGGUGUAGCGGUGAAAUGCGUAGAUAUCGUAAGGAAGACCAGUGGCGAAGGCGGGUCUCUGGACAGUUCCUGACGCUGAGGCACGAAGGUCAGGGGAGCAAACGGG
rnacentral:rRNA from 1 species